GAUGAACGCUGGCGGCGUGCCUAAUACAUGCAAGUCGAGCGAACAGACGAGGAGCUUGCUCCUCUGACGUUAGCGGCGGACGGGUGAGUAACACGUGGAUAACCUACCUAUAAGACUGGGAUAACUUCGGGAAACCGGAGCUAAUACCGGAUAAUAUAUUGAACCGCCUGGUUCAAUAGUGAAAGACGGUUUUGCUGUCACUUAUAGAUGGAUCCGCGCCGCCUUAGCUAGGUGGUAAGGUAACGGCUUACCAAGGCAACGAUGCGUAGCCGACCUGAGAGGGUGAUCGGCCACACUGGAACUGAGACACGGUCCAGACUCCUACGGGAGGCAGCAGUAGGGAAUCUUCCGCAAUGGGCGAAAGCCUGACGGAGCAACGCCGCGUGAGUGAUGAAGGUCUUCGGAUCGUAAAACUCUGUUAUUAGGGAAGAACAAAUGUGUAAGUAACUAUGCACGUCUUGACGGUACCUAAUCAGAAAGCCACGGCUAACUACGUG
rnacentral:rRNA from 1 species